rnacentral:rRNA from 1 species
GGGCCCGCACAAGCGGUGGAGCAUGUGGUUUAAUUCGAUGAUACGCGAGGAACCUUACCAGGGCUUAAAUGUUAGGUGACAGAUCUAGAAAUAGAUUUUUCUUCGGACACUUAACAAGGUGCUGCAUGGUUGUCGUCAGCUCGUGCCGUGAGGUGUCAGGUUAAGUCCUAUAACGAGCGCAACCCCUGUUGUUAGUUGCCAGCGAGUAAUGUCGGGAACUCUAGCAAGACUGCCAGUGCAAACUGUGAGGAAGGUGGGGAUGACGUCAAAUCAUCACGGCCCUUACGUCCUGGCUACACACGUGCUACAAUGGUAGGUACAGAGAGCAGCCAAUGCGCGAGCAUGAGCA